rnacentral:rRNA from 1 species
AGCUCCAGCAGCGUAUAUUUAUAUUGCUGCGUUUAAAAAGCUCGUAGUUGAAGCGUCAGACGCGGGAGGGCGGACGGCCGCACUGGUCGCUCUCGCCCGACCGAGCCAGGCGCAGAGGGCGCGUGUCGCUUGCACUUCACCGUGUGAGCGCACCGCCGCUGCACGUUCACCUUGAAGAAAUUGAACCGCUUAGAGGGGGCGAGCAGCUUGAACAGCUCAGCAUGGUAUGAUGAAACAUGGGCUCGUACUCAUUUUGUUGGUUAGAGAGUCGGCGAGCCAAUGAUUAACAGGGACUGCCGGGGGCAUUCGUACUCGGACGGGAGAGGUGAAAUUCAAGGAUCGUCCGAAGACGCCCUACUGCGAAAGCAUUUGCCAAGAAUGUUUUCAUUAAUCAAGAACG